ensembl:piRNA 21ur-4912 ncRNA
UUGCCUUUUUCACCACUUCGA